rnacentral:rRNA from 1 species
GAUGAACGCUAGCUACAGGCAUAACACAUGCAAGUCGAGGGGAAACGAUAUUGGAAGCUUGCUUCCGAUAGGCGUCGACCGGCGCACGGGUGAGUAACGCGUAUCCAACCUGCCCAUCACUUGGGGAUAACCUUGCGAAAGUAAGACUAAUACCCAAUGAUAUCUCUAGAAGACAUCUGAAGGAGAUUAAAGAUUUAUCGGUGAUGGAUGGGGAUGCGUCUGAUUAGCUUGUUGGCGGGGUAACGGCCCACCAAGGCUACGAUCAGUAGGGGUUCUGAGAGGAAGGUCCCCCACAUUGGAACUGAGACACGGUCCAAACUCCUACGGGAGGCAGCAGUGAGGAAUAUUGGUCAAUGGGCGAGAGCCUGAACCAGCCAAGUAGCGUGCAGGAUGACGGCCCUAUGGGUUGUAAACUGCUUUUAUAAGGGAAUAAAGUGGGAGUCGUGACUCCUUUUGCAUGUACCUUAUGAAUAAGGACCGGCUAAUUCCGUGCCAGCCGCCGCAGUAA